rnacentral:lncRNA from 1 species
AAUUAGUCACCGGCUCCAACCACCACAUUCCUCAGGCUGCUGGCGCCGGGCCAGGCUCUGGGGCGGGGGCCAUCCCGCCCGGACGGGUUUGGGAGUUGGGCGGGGGGAAAGCGCCGCCUCCGGAGGGGAAGGGGCGGUCCCGAGGACUGGGCCGCCGCAGCGCACCCCCCUCCUCGCCCACCUCAGCAUAGGAAUCUCCCUAAUUUUGUCCCCCUCCCCACCCAUCCCGCUGGGAGGCGCAUUGCAAACUUCCAGGUUCCGCGGCCCGAGAGGAAGGUUUUCUGGAGCGGGGAACGCGGAGAGUAAACAUGGGAUACGAACGGAGCAGCCCCCGAGCCACCGCCCCAUGCAGGGAGAGGAGGUGGGACAGAGGCCACCAGGCCCGGAACGGGGCGCCCUGCCUUGCAGUGGAGCCAACAGUCCGCCCUCCGGAGAAAUAAAGAGUGGAGCAAAGCA